rnacentral:lncRNA from 1 species
GUUUUAAUUCUCAAUUAAUUCUCUUUGAUGGAGAUAACCGACGUGUACCUUCAAUCGCCCCAUUAACUCUCCUAAUUAAACAUUUUAAUCUCAAAUUGAUUUCACCGUUAAAACACUUUAAGAACAUCAAUUGGGUUUUAUAUCAAAUCGUCAAAUUGGAUCCUGAAACAUUUACCAUUCAUUCUCCUAGUCAAACCAUGUAAAACCCCACUGAAAUUUCUCCAUUUCAUCACCUCUACAUCACGAAUUUAAUCGAAGAACAUUCCAGGGCUUGUAUCUUCCACGGACGAUAUCUCCUUCAAUUCUCAACCUUUUCAGUAUAAUAUUGUUAUAUAUGAUACUAGUAUAUUGGAUAUAUAAACCGUUCCUUUUCGUGCGGCACAUUCUCGUGGAUUAA